UACGUAGGGACCAAGCGUUGUCCGGAAUUAUUGGGCGUAAAGAGCUCGUAGGCGGCUGUCCACGUCGGAUGUGAAAGCUCGGGGCUCAACCCUGAGAGGCCAUUCGAUACGGGACGGCUAGAGGUAGGUAGGGGAGAUUGGAAUUCCUGGUGUAGCGGUGAAAUGCGCAGAUAUCAGGAGGAACACCGGUGGCGAAGGCGGAUCUCUGGGAAUAUCCUGACGCUGAGGAGCGAAAGUGUGGGGAGCGAACAGG
rnacentral:rRNA from 1 species